UCGGUCAAGAGCUCCUCUUGAAUUGGCGAACUAUAAUUCAGUCAUUAUUAUUGAUCGCAGAGCAACAUUUUCAAUUAUCUUUUCUAUUCUGUCGUGAGCAUCUGACCAGGAAUUUAAAUUGCUUUCAAAUGAUCUGCGAAAUUCAACAUUAAUGGCACUAGCCCUGUUGCCAUUGCACCCAUACAUCCAUGAUUGUAGCCUGCCUAUUUCCGGUUAGUACGUUAAACAGUGUCCUGCCUUCAGAGAAUGACUGACAGGGCGGUAUGAACACGAAAAUGCAUUCGCUUUACAUUUACGUUACAUUAAGUUAGGAAAACUGCAUUAGAUCGUGGAAAAUCAAUUGCAAAAGAUGGCGCUGUUUCUCACUUUUCACAAAGCGGGGCAUGUCUUUGAAAAUGAAAUGCCAAAUGGCUUUUCAUUAACAUUUUAUUAUUGACAGCGAAUGUGCAUGUCAGUACAUGAAAAUGCAAAUGCAAAUCACAUGAUUGCAUUUGAAUUUUCAUAUUGACUGAAAUAAUGCCGGCAAAAUUGGAAAAUGAAAAUGCAUUGUGGGAUUGCAUUAACAUUUUAAUUAAGUUAACUAUAUGCUUCCAUAAUAAUUUGGUGUAGGAGGACUUUACUGUCAACAGUCUACCACAGAAACAUCAACCAAAUAAGGAAGUUACAUACGUGCUGUAAUCUGAGUGUGUAUACACUAAAACCUUACUCUUGCCUGAAAGUCUGACAAUUGUGAUUACACGUUUUACCAUAAAGAUCCCUCAGUUCCUCAAAAUGAGAGUUUGGAGAUGUUUUCUUCAUCUGACAAUAGUUUGUGUUCUGAAUUACAAUCUAUCUACAGGCAAGUUAAUCUACUUUUUUUAUACUAGUGUCAAUUUGUGAAAUAUAUGAGGGACCCAAUGGUCAAAACACACCAAUAGCAUAAUGUAUUUUCCAUGACCAAAUAUUGAUGGAAGGGACAUGUUUUUAAUUUUACUACUCAGUAGGCAGAAAAUGGGGAAAGGCUUGUGACACCCUGA
rnacentral:lncRNA from 1 species